rnacentral:rRNA from 1 species
AUUGAACGCUGGCGGCAGGCCUAACACAUGCAAGUCGAGCGAGCGGCGGACGGGUGAGUACUGUCUGGGAACCUGCCUGAGGGCGGGGGAUAACUACUGGAAACGGUAGCUAAUACCGCAUACCCUCAGAUGUGCCCAAAUAGUAUUAGAUAGUAGGUGGGGUAACGGCUCACCUAGUCGACGAUCCCUAGCUGGUCUGAGAGGAUGACCAGCCACACUGGAACUGAGACACGGUCCAGACUCCUACGGGAGGCAGCAGUGGGGAAUAUUGCACAAUGGGCGCAAGCCUGAUGCAGCCAUGCCGCGUGUGUGAAGAAGGCCUUCGGGUUGUAAAGCACUUUCAGCGGGGAGGCGUUACCAGCAGAAGAAGCACCGGCUAACUCCGUGCCAGCAGCCGCGGUAAUUC